rnacentral:rRNA from 1 species
UGCAAGUCGAACGAUGAACCACUUCGGUGGGGAUUAGUGGCGAACGGGUGAGUAACACGUGGGCAAUCUGCCCUUCACUCUGGGACAAGCCCUGGAAACGGGGUCUAAUACCGGAUACCACUCUCACGGGCAUCUGUGAGGGUUGAAAGCUCCGGCGGUGAAGGAUGAGCCCGCGGCCUAUCAGCUUGUUGGUGAGGUAACGGCUCACCAAGGCGACGACGGGUAGCCGGCCUGAGAGGGCGACCGGCCACACUGGGACUGAGACACGGCCCAGACUCCUACGGGAGGCAGCAGUGGGGAAUAUUGCACAAUGGGCGAAAGCCUGAUGCAGCGACGCCGCGUGAGGGAUGACGGCCUUCGGGUUGUAAACCUCUUUCAGCAGGGAAGAAGCGAAAGUGACGGUACCUGCAGAAGAAGCGCCGGCUAACUACGUGCCAGCAG